UAUAUUUCAUUGAUAUAUUGAAUUAAUAUAUUAAAUUGAUAUAUUGAAUUCAUAUAAUGAAUUGAUAUGUUCAAUUAAUAUAUUGAAUUAAUAUAUUUAAUUGAUAUAAUUAAUUAAGAUAUUUAAUUACUCGUUGACUUCCUUCAAAUUCGAUUUCAAUCCGCGAAGAUCUGAAUCAAAAUCCACUCGAAAUCUCAUCAAGGCAGUGACUAACUCGGUUCGAUAAUCACCAAAUCUCCGAAGCCGAUUGUCGUCAUUGUAACGAACCAGAAGUAGAAACCGUCGAAAAAAUUCCAGUCGUCUUCCCAUAUCACGAACAUCGCUGCCCCGCAGGAUAAAUAAACAAAGAGAAGAACGAUCGCAGCGAGUGCCCCUGAAGAUCAAUAAUCGUUCACCAGUGAUUAUCGUUCAUUAAUUAACGAGAGGUCAUACGUUUACCUAAGGACCUGCGACCCGUGUUGUUACUGGGGAUCAAACGGGUCAGGAAAGCCGGUAAUUUCCUUCCCAAUUUGUCAGCAAUGUUGUUCACUGCUUCGGCGAAGAGUUUACCCCAGGCAGCAAUGGCGGUCAAGGUCAAUGGGAUCCCGAUAAAAGCGUAGAAGAUGCAGAAGACUCGACCCCACUCGGUUGAAGGGACGACAUUCCCAUAUCCUGAAAUGACACGUUUGUACGAGGCCGAGAGAUAAUCGUACCAAUUGUUGUCAGCACAGUACUGGCGAAGAAAAUCGCCUGAAGGAUACUCCACCGUUCUGUUACCACAGACGACACCUCCCUGACGUCUUCAUCCUGCAAAUCUUCAGGGGAUCCAAUAUCAGUGAUGGAACUGAUCAGAAAACCUUCCUGAGCUGCUCUUCGUAUGGCGCCUUCGGUUUUGUGUGAGUUACGAUUGGAUAUCUUGGAAGGACUGAGGAUUACAGAGUGUUGGCGGUCCAUUGGCCGAAUGGGGAUUUUCUAGCCCUUCGCCUUCACGUUUAAUAAUGAUUCUAAUUAUCAUUUGGUUUUAAUUUAAUACAUCCACUUAAAUUCUAUCAGAUUAAAUGGGAA